GGACUGUUUGAUGGUGUGUCUUUCACUCAGGAUCAAGACGCACACGACAUCAUUAGAUUCAAAGAAAGAAGUGGAAUAUUUGCCUGGUUAUUUUCUGAAACUAUCCGUGGAGAAAAAUAUAGGCCAUUUCGCGACAUUAUGCAAGAGAAUUGUACUGAGGGAAGAAAACUUCUUGAGAUCAUGAAAAAGAAGAUGGCAAGUUUGCCUACUGACAAAUCUACAACAGAUGAGUCGCCCAGGUUUAAUGAGAUUAGAGAGUUAUGGCUUCAAUUUCUCAAGCACACUGUUUUUGAUUAUGGCAAAAUUAUGUUGACACUAUCCAGAACAUUGUUGUGGAGUGAAUUCAAAAAGCAUAUGGCUGGAGUUCACAAAACUGCUUGUCAAAGGAUCACCACAGAUGAUAUUGACGAUGUCUUUUUUACUUUGAGUAAUGCUGAAGAACAAACAAUGAAAGAGUAAAUUUCUUAUCCAACAGGUACCUUUUCCAUGCCAACAUUUAUCACAACACUUCAAUUAUUUGAAAAUAUUGGCCUAUGUUUAUGCUCACUUAUGUCAAAUAAGAGAAAUAAUUAUUGCUUAUCCAAAUUUGAGCAUUUUGUUCGAUCAUACUAUUAUCUACGCGAAUUUAGUCUUCUUAUUGAAUUGUGUUCACAGAAAGUCAAAGGCUAACUAUGAAUCUCAA